UCUACCGAUUAUUUAAAAGAUUCCAUCUAAAUUUUAAAAGAUCUAAAAUAAGUAAUUUUUGUUCUUGCUAAAAAAACCAUGUUAUGAAGAGAAAAAAAACAUGCACAAUUUUGGAAAGGGAAAAACAAAAAACGAAAUGGUUCCAAACUGAAUUGGCAGGAAAACAGGACGGGGCGGGAAGAAAAGGCGGGAGAUGGAGAAACCGGAGAGGGGAAGAUCUGCUCCGAUCUAAAAUCACACGGUAAUUGUAACAAACUGUGCAUUAGCGGGGAAUUCUGCAAUUGGAUUUUGAAUAGUCGGAUUUGAAAUCUUCCACCACCGUUUCGGAGAGAAACACAGGGGCAUUGCAGAUCCGGUCAAAUUCUGGCCGUCGAUGUGGCCUGGGUUCUCCUAACAUCGUCUAUCAACUGCCAUCGAGGGUUUCUAUUCAUAUACGAAGAGCAUGGUAUCUCUAAUGAUUUCCAUCCGAGAUGAAAGAUCACAUGUGAAUGCAAAAAGGUGUAAGUGAUCCGCAAGAACAAGAAGAUUGGUUUAUUAAAGAAAGAGAUCAAGAAACAUCCACGUUUAUGGUAGAAGACAUGUGAAUUUUGAGUAAGAGGCUUAUGAAGAAAUAGGAAUCACCCAUUGAAGAUGAGGAAGAUUGGUCACAGAGGCAUCUUAAAUAAUUCGUCCCAUACCUAAAAAACAGUGAAUAUAUAUAUAUAUAUAUAUAUAUAUAUAUAUAUAUAUAUAUAUAUAUAUAUAUAUAUAUAUAUCUUAUAUUAUAUUAUCAUAUCCGGGUUAUUUUACAAAAUUGAGACUUAGAAUUGUAUGGUGGUGACCUAGAACGAAAAUUUGGUCAUCGUCACACUUUUGAAGUAAUUUUAAACCUGUCCAAUUUUGAUUCUUAGCUUUUUGAAACGACCUGUCCCUACCAUUUCUAUCUUUAUUCCACUGAGAAAAAGGGACUUUCUUUUGACAAA